UCAAAUAGUUAAUAAGUAAUAAUAAAAUAUGAACGCGUUGCGCAAUAUUUUCAGCGCGAGAGCGUUGAACUUUUUGCGGCAUAAUGGUCAAAAUGCUCUUUUUAAUAUUACACAACCAGCUGAUAAUGCUGCUACCACCUCUUCAAAUUCUUUAUGCGAUGGAAAUAAUAUUAUUACACAAAAUCGUCCGGCAGAACCGUUAGUAAUACCAAAAGCCAUAUUAGAAGCUACUAAAUUUGCUGGCAAAAGCUUUCUCAACAAUUCAAAUUCGACGGGUUCAAUCUCUCCUACAACGUUAAAAUUAUACCGCCGCAUCCAGCGUAAAGUAGAUAUAACAUACAUAUGCAAACUAUGUAAUACUCGGAAUACGAAGCAAGUUAAUGAAGCCGCUUAUAAAAAUGGUGUUGUUAUACUUCAAUGUGAUGGCUGUGCCGUAAAUCAUUUAAUCAUUGACAAUCUUGGUGACGAAUUCAUUGAUUUAUUGAAUGGUAAUAAUAAUUGACUACGUCUAAGUCAACUAUAAAAUGGUCUGAAAAACAUUGAAACUUCUAACGGAAUUAUCAUUAAAUAAAUCCAUCGAUCAAUAAAUCGAUAUCCAUAUAAAGGGAUAAUUGUUUUCACAAUCGAUUUGUUUGUGUUUAAUCGCAAGAUUUUAUCCACAAUUGCAAAUUGCGAUGAGUAGAUUUCUUAAGGACUCAGUAUGGUCGAGGCAAAUUAUUGCAAAUGUUGUGAUCAUCGUUGAUGAACCGGAAUCAAGAUUACCAUGAGAGUCGGACAGAUUGUAGUACUGUUUAACAUUUUUCUGAUAUAUCUACGAAGGUCCAUCUUUUCCCUUGUGCCAUCCGUUAUUAGCGGCGUGGAAAUCGUAAAUUUGGCUACUGGUUCGACUUGCUACUUUCGCGCGCGACCAGCAUGACUGUAAUCUCCUUAUUUUACGAUAUAAAUGGUUUCGGCUGCUCGUGACAAUAAUCGUUUCCGAGGUAAUUAUUUAGAGAUAGACCAGUCAAUACUUACGCAUGGGCAUAGUAUUCUCACUGGACGGAGCGAAGCCUAUGUUUAUCUCCUAGGAAAAAGUAUUUGGUGAGCAGAGCUCGAAGAGUGAGUAGACAACUGUGGCAAUGUAGAGAAACGUGGAAACGGAUCUUGCCACCCCGCCAAGCAGAACGAGGAAAAAGCAAAAAGUCCUUGCCGACAAUUCUGUUGCUCACGUUGAGAAGUUUCGGGAUGAUUUUGAUUUUUAAUUCGUUGAUUCUACUAUCUAAAGCGAAGAGAUCUGUGCCGUCAAUAAUGUUGUUGUUGACUAUUUUAAAACGUUAUAUCUGUUUGUAAGUUAUUGCCGUACAUGGUGCGACCAUUUCUGAUUUUGCUUAACACAAAUAUUGCUAAGAUAAACAAUGGUGUUUAUGUACAAAAGCCAUUUGCAAAUAACACGGCAUAUAUAUGAAAUUCUAUUUAAUGAGUUAUACAAAAGGUUUCCGUAGUUUUUUGCGAAUAGGUGGUGUUGAUGCCUAUUCUUUGCUCGGGUAGAAGGUUAUAUCGAUUUGAAAAUGAGCAAAAUAUCUGAAGAAUACGCUAUAUAAUGCUUUUUUACUAUAAAAAAGGUAAAAACUGUGCAAAAAAAAUUUUUGUAAAGUGUAAGGUGAGAAUGCCGUGAAUGAAUGAAGGAUUCAUAGCGAAAAAACUAAACGUCAACCAAUUGAAAUUGAAUCAAAAUUUCUAACGAACGAAGUGCCACUUCGAAUGGUUUCAUUGCUUGCCAGGCAAAAAAAAAGAAGAAGAAGAAGUAGGUCUACCAUGACAAUCCCAAGCCCAAGUAUUAUGGGUUAGUUUAAGAGAGUCAUCCACAUCAAUACCGCGCCAGAAUACAUUCAUGAUCAUAAAGUUGUGCAGUGCAUAUGAUGGGAUCAGCACCAUGUAGUCUAUUGCGAGCUGCUAAAGCCGAAUGAAACUGUUACUGCAGAUGUCUACCGACUUCAAUUCAAUAAUGGAUUAUUAAAAAAAAGGCCAGCAAUAGCGCCUACCAGAUGCACGUAUCCUCUUACAUGACAACGCUCGCCCAUACGUUGCAAGAAUUGUCACGUAUACAUUCUUGCAGCUGAUAUGGGAAGUGCUUUCGCAUCUAGCGUACUCAGCAGAUAUAGCGCUUUCCGAUUACCACUUGUCCAGAAUGGUUGCGGCAUGGCUUGGUUGACACGCGGAUCUGCAAAGUUGAAAAAGUGCGAAAAUGGGUCGGUGGGGGUCGCUGCCCAAAAAAAAAAAACAAUAU